GCGCUCGCCUUGGCAACACAUAUACUAAAAUUGGAACAAUACAGAGGUUAGCAUGGCCCCUGCUCAAGGAUGAGAGGCAAAUUUGUGAAGCGUUCUGUAUUUUU
ensembl:snRNA U6 U6 spliceosomal RNA